UGGAUACUCGCAUGCCUAAGUUUGUUCC
rnacentral:piRNA from 1 species